rnacentral:rRNA from 1 species
UACGUAGGGUGCAAGCGUUGUCCGGAAUUAUUGGGCGUAAAGAGCUCGUAGGCGGUUUGUCGCGUCUGCUGUGAAAUCCCGAGGCUCAACCUCGGGUCUGCAGUGGGUACGGGCAGACUGGAGUGCGGUAGGGGAGAAUGGAAUUCCUGGUGUAGCGGUGGAAUGCGCAGAUAUCAGGAGGAACACCGAUGGCGAAGGCAGUUCUCUGGGCCGUAACUGACGCUGAGGAGCGAAAGCGUGGGGAGCAAACAGG